rfam:Brenneria goodwinii strain OBR1 genome assembly, contig: Contig
UAGUGCAUUGGUAGCUAUAAGCCAAGGGCGGUAGCGUG